AACGAACGCUGGCGGCAUGCCUAACACAUGCAAGUCGAACGAGACCUUCGGGUCUAGUGGCGCACGGGUGCGUAACGCGUGGGAACCUGCCUUUAGGUUCGGAAUAACUCAGAGAAAUUUGAGCUAAUACCGGAUAAUGUCUUCGGACCAAAGAUUUAUCGCCUUUAGAUGGGCCCGCGUUGGAUUAGCUAGUUGGUGGGGUAAAGGCCUACCAAGGCGACGAUCCAUAGCUGGUCUGAGAGGAUGAUCAGCCACACUGGGACUGAGACACGGCCCAGACUCCUACGGGAGGCAGCAGUGGGAAUAUUGGACAAUGGGCGAAAGCCUGAUCCAGCAAUGCCGCGUGAGUGAUGAAGGCCUGGUGUAAGCACUUCAGCGAGGAGGAAGGGUUGUGUGU
rnacentral:rRNA from 1 species